UACGUAGGGGGCAAGCGUUAUCCGGAUUUACUGGGUGUAAAGGGAGCGUAGACGGCAGGGCAAGUCUGGAGUGAAAGCCCGGGGCCCAACCCCGGGACUGCUUUGGAAACUGCCAUGCUAGAGUGCUGGAGAGGUAAGCGGAAUUCCUAGUGUAGCGGUGAAAUGCGUAGAUAUCGAGAGGAACACUCGUGGCGAAGGCGGGUUCCUGGACAUUAACUGACGCUGAGGCACGAAGGCCAGGGGAGCGAAAGGG
rnacentral:rRNA from 1 species